rnacentral:rRNA from 1 species
GUAUUGUACCAGAAGCAGAUAGCCUAACCGCAAGGAGGGCGUCUACCACGGUAUGGUCCAUGACUGGGGUGAAGUCGUAACAAGGUAACCGUAGGUGAACCUGCAGAAGGAUCA